AUGACAGAGGACAGAAUCAUCAAAAGUGUCCAGGAGCAACUGUCUGAUCAUAAUAUCCUGUCCUCUUGCCCACCUGAGCUGACUGUUGGUCUUAUCAAGGUGGUGGUCGAACAGCUUAACUCUGCCCUCUCUGCGACCAUCAGCAGAGCUAUUUCAGGGCGGUCCUCCCCUAUUUCUUCUGGUACCCAGGCCGCUGAACAAAUGGUCAACAUGGUCCUGAAAUGUUUUGAUGAUCACACCACCCCAGAGGACCAGAGCUCUACCUCUGUAUUAGAGUCAUGCAUUCCACCUGCAACAGAAGAAGUGAUGACUGUUAUCGCAGAGAUGGUGGGUGAAUUGGAAAAAGAAGAUCCGGAAUUGGCUAAGGUUUUUCGAGAAGUGGCUGUGAAAGUUAAAAUGUUGGCAUCUGGCAGUGACCUUGUAGUGGAGCACCUGGAUGUUGAAGACUCUCCUGUUCCAGAGGAGCUGAACAUAAUAUGUACAUCUUGCAAAGCAAUGAUGCAAAAUCUUGGCACUCUGUUUAGUGUGAAGUUCAAGACCAAAGCCUCAAAGGCUGUGAGUGAAAUUCUUGUGAGAAGGUUAAUGAGCGAUAUCUCUGGUAUGGUUCAACCUUCUCAUUCGUUUAGUACCACUCCAAGCUUGAUGAAUGCAUCUAGCCCAUCUGACAGGAUCCUUGAUUCUGUGGCCACUGAGCUCAUACAGACCAAAGUAGAAUCUGAGGCAUCACAAAUAAUUGAUAACUUUGUUGAAGAUGUCAAGGACAUUGUGCAGUAUGCUGAAUUAGAUCAGCCAACAAGCACCCAGAGAGAUACCCAAGUGGGACACUGUACGACAAAGCGGAAACCCUUCCAUGCAGCUCGUAGACUCUGCGAGAGACUUCAGGCAAAGCUGGAGACAUUGUUCCUCAGAAUGGGUGGAGCUCCAGUCCAAGGGGAAGAACUUAUGGAAAAAGCUGACUCCAGUGCUGUGCUUCUGGAGCAUACUGACUCCAGUGAUCUGCCUGUUUCAAUCCUGAGCUUGCCUUCCCCAUGUAGGAGUGAAUCCCCUAUAUCAGAACGUAGUUCAUCUUCUUUAUCUGAUGGAUGUGAUUCAACUGACUCUGUAGGAGAGAAAACACCAGAGCAACCUGAAACCAGUAAGAGUGAGGCAAUACUGCAAGUGGUAAACUCAACAGGACUUGGUUCUCUCCGUAAAUGCCAAAGUGAGAACUCUCAACCAUUACUGUCUCUCUGUGAUUCCAACAUGGUGCCCUGCACCAAAGAGGUCUUGUCCCAGAUUGUGACCAUGUAUAGGUCAGAGGUGGCAGAUUUGGAAUGCACAUCAUCUGUUGCAGAGGGUUCCUCUUACAACUCCCUUGAAGUCUGUGGCUUUUUGGACAGUGUCAUGUCUUAUCUAGAAGACAUGCCUGUGUCUGGUUCUUCAUGGUUGGAAGGAUUAAGAGAUACUCCAGCCUCAGUCAUUGAGAAACUCUCCAGUGAGGAGUUCCAGAUGAACGCUACCAACGAAGUGCGAAAAAUACUGAUCAAAUCAGUCAGUAGCUUUCCCAGCAAAGUCAGUUCCAGCCAGACAGAUUCUCAGAUGUUGCCAGCAAAAUCAACAAUUUCCUUAAGGCAUACAGAUAUAACUGCUUUUGAAAUCGUUGGAUCAAUUACAAAUGACAUGAAGAGCCUUUUCCCACCCACAGAGUCUUCUACUACUCUAUGGCAGGCAGACUCUAUGCUUCAACAGAGUGAUGAGAAAACCUCAGAGUACACUGAGGCCACACCCAAAGGCUCACAGUCUGGUUUGGAAGUAUCUGAGAAGAAGAUCUGGACAACUGCAAAUACUAUUUACCACAAUGUGAAGACAAAGAUGAGGAAUUAUUUUACAUGGCAAAAUCAAGUCAAAGCAACAACGGCUCAAGCCAAAAAGACCCUCAGCCAUAUUCUGGUUUCAAUUCAGAAAGAGCUGUCAAAAUCUGACCAAACGGUGACUGCGCUUUCACAAAUAGAGAAUGUGGUUGGAAUGAUGCUGAAGGAUGUUGAAAGGGUAAGCAGUGAAUGUGGUGAGGAACUGAUCUAUCAAGCGCCACAGCGUUCUUCCUCCUCGUUGUCAUCCUCAUCUGCCAGAUCAAAGAAGUCAGAGUGGGAAUUUUCACUCCCUGGCACUCCCAUCUCUUCUGAUUUACCAGAGAGUAUUACUCAGCCCAUUGUGAGAUGCUCAGUCAUCGACAUGGGCAAAUCUACUAAGCCAAAAACAUUGGUGUGUGAUGCCAGGGAAAGCAUGUCUGCAAUAGUGGAUACCAUCAUAAAGGAGGUACAUCCAGAGGAAGAAGGGGAGGUUGCAUUCCACCCUGAUCUAACAGCUGCAAUAGCAAGACUGGAGGAGCUCAUAUCUCAGGGUAGGAUUGGUGCUCUCUCACGUGAUCUUACUCACAAAGUCAACCGCAUCAUUUCUGAGAGCAACUUGACCCCUCUGGUUCUGACAGUGGCGGCUGGAAAGAGUGCAUCCGAUACAGUCCUUACUGAGCUGAAGAGGAAUGACAAGACGGUGGGGAAGCCCACAGCUUACAAGCUGGUUCAGCUUUUUGCAGAGGAGUCUGUGAAGCGCCUCUUGCUUCCUAGCCUUGUGCCCUCUACAGCUUCAAUGAGUUUGGCUCAGGGAGUUAGUGUGCCGGCUAGCGUAUCUGAAGAUAGGAUUUCAUGUUCUUUUUCUACAUCAGCAUUUAGUGACACAGUCAGCCUGUUUACCAAAGUAAUGGUAAGCCAGGUCAUGGACUCUGUGGUUUCUGAUGCACAAAGCAGAGGGUCAUCUCCAACCGGAACUGUAACUGAUAUAGGCAGUCUACUGAGUGGUAAGUCCUACCCUCUGCCAUCUUUCUCCGCCAUCAGCAUGACAACAAGUGGGACCUCCAAUGCUGCACGAGGCUUUGAGGCCAACAUAGAUGCUGAGGAAAGUUGUUUCGGUGUACCUCAGAGCAUUGUUUGUGAUCAGAAUUCAACCAGCCCGGAUGUUGCCUCGCUUUCAACCCCAUCCACUGACAACUUAGUCGGUGAUGAUGACUUCACCGGCCUCAUCAGCAUGUUAGUGGUGAGACUUCUGUCAAAAAUCCAAACCCAAACUGAUCUGUACCCAACUGACGUCACACGCACGUCACAAGACCUGAUUCCAAAAGUUAUAGCUGCCUUCUGUGCAUGGUCAGGCUGCUCUGAGACCCAAGCUUAUCCCAAGAACCUGAAGAGUCACAAAGUAUACAGCACCGUCUACAAACAUCUGUUGAAGGAGUUUGGCUCAGAGAAAAUACUCCAACUGGCCGUGUCGACUCAGGACUCCACUUUCAAUAGGAUUCUUGUGAAGUCAUUGAGCAAGGAGCUUCUCCACAGUUGUAACGAGGCAUCAAGAGCAGCCUCAAGAACAUCUUUCGAAGCCACCAGGCCAGAAGCUCUUCUCAUGGCUGAAGAUGUGAAGGCUACCAGAGGGAAGCUGUCUUUCCUACAAAGGCUUGCCAGACUGAAAUUCAACUUAAAGCCAUUCAUGAUGGGAAACAAGAAGAAUUCCCGCCAUUCUGAAUCCAAAGACCAGACUACUGCUGAAGAGAUCAUGUGUAAGUCCAUACAGCAGGACAUUUACUGUUUGAGAUAUUGGUGUACAAAGCUGCUAUUGCAAAAAUAUUAAACCCUAUAUACAGUACAUUAUAUAUUAUCGAUAGUAAUCUCUUAUGUAAAAUUAUUUAUAGUUUCCAAAUCUCAAGAUUCUGGUUCUCAUUUAUUUGUGAAAGUAAUAAUGAGUUGAAACUAAGAAUACAAUAUAUCAUCAUUUCUAAAUGAAAGUACAUGUCAACUCUCUCUCUCUUCUGUCGCCCAACAUAGUGGCACAUCCUGCCACGUUUGGACUCCCAGAGGGUCUUCCCUCCACCUCUCAACAGGAGAAGCCUCGCAAACGUCCCCUUCUAAUCAGGAUGUUUUCCACCAUCUCCAUAGGCCUAUCCAAGCCAUUCAAACGGUUUUCAAAGCAAGCUUAAUACAACAAUUUCCUUUAAUACAGUAAUAUUUGCAUUGAAUUGAUGGCCUUUGUCUUCUUUUGUGUUGCCCUGUUAACACAUUUGAUUAGAAAAUACAUAGUAUAUUUAGUUUAGUUUAUUAUGCAGUCAUAGUCACGGUGUAGGCUAAACAAAGUAAUGUUGUCCUGAAUAAUGUAUAGAACAUGCACCCCCCCCCCCCCCCCCCCCCCCCACCCACACACACACACACACACACACACACACACACACACACACACACACACACAGUGUGAUUCAUUGAGCACACACACAUACUACUUCAGAUAUGUCCCACUGUCACACCCUGACCAUAGUUUGCUUUGUAUGUUUCUAUGUUUUGGUUGGUCAGGGUGUGAUCUGAGUGGGCAUUUUAUGUUGGAUGUCUUGUUUGUCUAUUUCUAUGUCUGGCCUGAUAUGGUUCUCAAUCAGAGGCAGGUGUUAGUCAUUGUCUCUGAUUGGGAACCAUAUUUAGGUGGCCUGGGUUUCACUGUGUGUUUGUGGGUGAUUGUUCCUGUCUCUGUGUUUGCACCAGAUAGGACUGUUUAGGUUUUCACAUUUCAUUGUUUUGUAGUUUAUUCAUGUAUAGUUUUCCUUUAUUAAACAAACAUGAAUCAUCACCAUGCUGCGUUUUGGUCCGCCUCUCCUUCACCGCAAGAGAACCGUUACAGAAUCACCCACCACAACAGGACCAAGCGGCGUGGUAACGGGCAACAGCUACAGCAGCGAAAAGAGGAAUGGACAUGGGAGGAAGAAUUGGAAGGUAAAGGACCCUGGGCACAGCCUAGAGAAUAUCGCCGCCCCAAAGAAGAGCUGGAGGCGGCGAAGGCGGAGAGGCGCUGGUAUGAGGAGGCAGCACGGCGGCGUGGAUGGAAGCCCGAGAGUCAGCCCCAAAAAUGUCUUGGGGGGGGGGGGGGGCACACAGGAAGUGUGGCGAAGCCAGGUAGGAGACCUGCGCCAACUUCCUGUGUUUACCGGUUGGGCUGGAGAGACCGGGCAGGCACCGUGUUAUGCUGUGAAGCGCACGGUGUCCCCAGUGCGGGUGCAUAGCCCGGUGCGGUACAUUCCAGCUCCGCGUAUCGGCCGGGCUAGAGUGGGCAUCGAGCCAAGUGCCAUGAAGCCGGCUCUACGCAUCUGGUCUCCAGUGCGUCUCCUUGGGCCGGCUUACAUGGCACCAGCCUUGCGCACGGUGUCCCCGGUUCGCCUGCAUAGCCCAGUGCGGGCUAUUCCACCUCGCCGCACUGGCAGGGCGACCGGGACCAUUCAACCGGGUAAGGUUGGGCAGGCUCGGUGCUCAAGAGCUCCAGUGCGCCUGCACGGUCCGGUCUAUCUGUCACCACCUCCACGCACCAGCCCUCCGGUGGCAGCCCCCUGCACCAGGCUGUCUCUCCGGCUCAUCCUUACAGGGGCUCCCGCCUGUCCAGCGCUGCCGGAGCCUUCCUCCUCUCCAGCACUGUCGGAGUCUCCCUCCUCUCCAGCGCUGCCAGAGCCUUCCUCCUCUCCAGCGCAGCCGGAGUCUCCCGCCUGUUCGGCGCUACAAGAGCUACUCAGUCC
rnacentral:lncRNA from 1 species